rnacentral:rRNA from 1 species
CUACCAUGCAAGUCGAGCGGUAGAGAGGUGCUUGCACCUCUUGAGAGCGGCGGACGGGUGAGUAAAGCCUAGGAAUCUGCCUGGUAGUGGGGGAUAACGCUCGGAAACGGACGCUAAUACCGCAUACGUCCUACGGGAGAAAGCAGGGGACCUUCGGGCCUUGCGCUAUCAGAUGAGCCUAGGUCGGAUUAGCUAGUUGGUGAGGUAAUGGCUCACCAAGGCGACGAUCCGUAACUGGUCUGAGAGGAUGAUCAGUCACACUGGAACUGAGACACGGUCCAGACUCCUACGGGAGGCAGCAGUGGGGAAUAUUGGACAAUGGGCGAAAGCCUGAUCCAGCCAUGCCGCGUGUGUGAAGAAGGUCUUCGGAUUGUAAAGCACUUUAAGUUGGGAGGAAGGGCAUUAACCUAAUACGUUAGUGUUUUGACGUUACCGACAGAAUAAGCACCGGCUAACUCUGUGCCAGCAGCCGCGGUAAUACAGAGGGUGCAAGCGUUAAUCGGAAUUACUGGGCGUAAAGCGCGCGUAGGUGGUUCGUUAAGUUGGAUGUGAAAUCCCCGGGCUCAACCUGGGAACUGCAUUCAAAACUGUCGAGCUAGAGUAUG